UUUUACAUGAUACCUAUUGCUGACGUGCAGUCACUGGAAAAUCUCGAUAGCCUGGAAAAAUCGGCUACUUUCCUCAGGCCUAUGAUAGAUCUAAUAAAGUAAUUCAUUGAUGAGAUAUAUGCAAUUGCUUCCAAGCGAGAAAACCUGCAAAGGGAGAUGGAACGGCGGAUAGUAACACAACAUAUGACUUGCAUGGAUGUAUAACAUCACACUCAGUCUUCUGAUGAUUCCCAAAAACAUCUGAGAAGAAGCUUGGUUAUGUUCUUGUUAGCGGAGCAACAAACAAUCAAAAUGCAAUUGACCAACCUUUAAGGAGAGCUGGACGGUUUGAUCGUGAUAAGUCUUUGGGUGAACCUGAUGAAAAAACCACUGCUAGAGAUCCUGUCAGUUAUUACUCGAAAAUGUAAAUGUGUGUUUUGGAGAGAGUGGAGUCAAUGAGAUAUAGUUUUAUAUAAUAAUUAUGUCCUUUUGAACUUUUAAGUGUUUCAUAAAAUUACAAGCUGAGUAUUGCAUGAUUGCAAGGUUAGAUGAUCAAUGAAUUCCUAUCGUUCAAUUGCAUUGCAAA